AGCUUCCCAGUUUCCAUCUGAAACAUGGGUAGUUUUUCAAAUUCUGUAUGUCCUCCCAGCCUUAUGUUCCUCUUUGGUUUGCUACCCGCCCCUAUUGAUUCUCGUGCCUUAAGCACAUGCACAUCCUUGCAAGUUCAAUGCAUUUUCCAUAAUGGUUAAUCAAGCUUGCAGUUAAUUUGGGCCCCAUGUAACUGCAGUUAUUUUUGGAUGAUAAUACUUGGGGCGUGAAACAGAUAAACAGUCAUGGCAGAGGGAACAGAAGUUGAGGAACGGGUGGAUCUUGACGAGGACAAUUACAUGGAAGAAAUAGAUGAUGAUGUUGAAGAUCAACUAGAUGAUGAUGAUGAUGAUGAUGGAGGAGAUGAUAAUGGAGAUGCACAUAAUGAAGAAAAUGUUGAAGAGGACUAUGAGGACUCUAAAAAUGGGGUUAGUCAGAAAGAUCGGUCGCCGGAAAUGGAUAGAAUUCAUGUCGAUACAGAGCCUCUGGAAGAUGAAGAAAAGCCCACUGCUUCUGUCAAUGAAGAGGAAAAAGAGAAGCAUGCUCAACU
rnacentral:misc_RNA from 1 species